GAUGAAGAACGCAGCGAAAUGCGAUAAGUAAUGUGAAUUGCAGAAUUCAGUGAAUCAUCGAAUCUUUGAACGCACAUUGCGCCCGCUAGUAUUCUGGCGGGCAUGCCUGUCCGAGCGUCAUUUCAACCCUCAAGCCCCCGGGCUUGGUGUUGGGGAUCGGCGAGCCUCCGCGCCCGCCGUCCCCUAAAUCUAGUGGCGGUCUCGCUGUAGCUUCCUCUGCGUAGUAGCACACCUCGCACUGGGAAACAGCGCGGCCACGCCGUUAAACCCCCAACUUCUGAACGUUUGACCUCGGAUCAGGUAGGAAUACCCGCUGAACUUAAGCAUAUCAAUAAGCUGAGGA
rnacentral:misc_RNA from 1 species